rnacentral:misc_RNA from 1 species
GCGGCUCAGAAAUUGAUCUAGAAGAAUUGUUAUUGGCGGGUGGGAGAUGGUAAAUGUCUUAGAAUUUUCCGUGUUGCAAGGUUACUUGAUCCGUAGAAUCCUUAUAUUGAAAUAGAAGCAGAUGAGGAUUUAGCUGACAUUUGUGUUCAUGAUUUGUUUAAAGUGAAUCAAAGUUGCUGGGAUGAGGAGGUUAUUAAUGAUAUUUUCAAUAGUAGAGAUGCCAGACUGAUUCUGCAAAUUUCGUUAAGCUUGUUUGAUCAAGUGGAUAGCUUUAUGUGGAUGGGAGAUCGAAAAGGCACUUAUACAGUUAAAAGUGCAUAUCGAAGCUUACUAAGCAACUCUUCACAAGGGAGGGUGAUGGUCUCGUGUGGAAAAGGUUAUGGAAGGCUAGAGUUCCUCCGAAAUUCGAAAAUAUGAUUUGGACAGCCUAUUCUAAUGUUUUGCCUACUUUAUCUAAUUUGAGAAUCCGUCGUGUUGAGGUUCAAGUUGGUUGCUUCAUGUGUAAUGGCGAAGAUGAAUCUUUUUUUCAUGUGCUUAUCAGUUGUCCUUUUACAUAGCAGUGUUGCCCUGCAUCGAGUGUUGGAUUCUAACAGACUUCAGGUUCUACAAUUUUGGACUAGCUUGGCAAUUUUUUUAAUUCCACUAGUGUUGAAUAUGAAUGUCUUGCUCUUGCCGUUCUUUGGAGCAUAUGGGAUUGUAGAAAUAAACGAGUUUGGCACAAUAUUUCUCUUAGUCCAGCUCAAGUUGCGGCUAACGCCAGGAGGAUGUUAUUGCAGUGGCAGAUGCACAAUUUUUGCCAGUUUUGGAGAACAAUUCUGCUGCUAUUACUCAGAUUACUGGAUGGUUUCCUCCCAUGCUUGACCGGAUCAAAUGCAAUACUGAUCCAGGAUGUCAACCAGGAAAGAGUAGGGGUUGGCUGGGUUUUUUGCGACUUGCAUGGCAUUUUUGCAGCUGCCAAAGUGAAGUCUUUUAUGGGUAGAAUGGACUCUCUUCAAGCGGAAGCUCUCAGUUUCAGGGAAGCUCUCAAUUUGGGUGAAGAGUAAGGGAUGGAAAAAUGUAGAUUUUGAAACAGAUUCUCAAUUGUUAGUUCAUUCUAUUUUUAGCAGAGUUCAGGAUUUGUCUAUUGUUGGUUCAAUCAUUAUGGAUUGCCAACUUCUUUUGCAAGAAUUUAUUAAUUGUUCCUCGCAGUUUAUUAGGCGAUCAACGAAUCAGACAGCUAAUUCGCUAGCUAGAGCUGCUGUUUCUAUGUCUGAUGAGAUUGAGUAGUGUCAUUCUCCUCCUAGUUUUAUUGAAGAUGUAUUGAG